UCGGAUUGUAGUCUGCAACUCGACUACAUGAAGCCGGAAUCGCUAGUAAUCGCGGAUCAGAAUGCCGCGGUGAAUACGUUCCCGGGUCUUGUACACACCGCCCGUCACACCAUGGGAGCCGGAAAUGCCCGAAGUCAGUGACCCAACCAAUAAGGAGGGAGCUGCCGAAGGCAGGUCUGGUGACUGGGGUGAAGUCGUAACAAGGUAAC
rnacentral:rRNA from 1 species